rnacentral:rRNA from 1 species
AUUGAACGCUGGCGGCAUGCCUUACACAUGCAAGUCGAACGGCAGCAUAGGAGCUUGCUCCUGAUGGCGAGUGGCGAACGGGUGAGUAAUAUAUCGGAACGUGCCCUAGAGUGGGGGAUAACUAGUCGAAAGACUAGCUAAUACCGCAUACGAUCUAAGGAUGAAAGUGGGGGAUCGCAAGACCUCAUGCUCCUGGAGCGGCCGAUAUCUGAUUAGCUAGUUGGUGGGGUAAAAGCCUACCAAGGCAACGAUCAGUAGCUGGUCUGAGAGGACGACCAGCCACACGGGGACUGAGACACGGCCCAGACUCCUACGGGAGGCAGCAGGGGGGAACGUUGGACAAUGGGCGGAAGCCUGAUCCAGCCAUGCCGCGUGGGUGAUGAAGGCCCUCGGGUUGUAAAGCUCUGUCGGGAGGGACGAACGGUCUCGGGUAACGCCGAGGAUUGACGGUACCUCCAAAGGAAGCACCGGCUAACUCUGUGCCAGCAGCCGCCGUAACAC